UGUGAUUUUGUGGAAAAGAAAUUUGAUGUAUUUAAGGUGUGAUUUUGUGAAAAUUUAAUUUAAUGUAAUUAUGAAUAAUUUAGUGGAAUUUAUAUUUGAGGUGUGGUUUGUGGUGAUUCAAGUUUGGUGCGAUUUAUCUGUUCAUGAUUAUUAUUAUGAAUUUUUUAGAUGUGAUUUAUUUGUGGAUUUUGUAGAAAAUGAAUUGAUGAAAUUUGGUGGUUUAUGUGUAAAAAUAUGUUUGAGUAGGCUCUGUGUGGUGUUUGAAAAAUCAUUAGUGUUAAAUGAGUAUUAAAAAUGGGGAAUCUUUUAAUAACUGCAUUUACUUAAUGAUUGUGGUGAAAAGAGUCAGAGUAUGCUCAUGCAUUUCAUAGUACAUGGUGACCGCGAUGGGGCCAUGGUGAUAGUGGUGACCGUGAUGGGCCACGGGAUGAUGCCAUGUGAAUUGUUGGUUCAUCUUAUCCUUGCGGGGAUUGUCGCGUCGUGCUGAUCUGUGAGAGAUUGCACUCUAGAAUGUGAUGAUCUGUGAGCGAUUGCACUCUAGAAAAUUGUGCUGGUCUGUGAGCGACUGCACUCUUGUAUGUCGUGCUGGUCUGUGAGAGACUGCACGCUAGUAAAUCGUGCUGAUCCGUGAGAGAUUGCACCUCGGUAAUUAGUACUGGUCUGUGAAAGGCUGUACAUUUAUGAUUUACGCCCCUCGAGGAGGGUUUUGGUUUGGAAUUCCGGAAUGAUGCAUUUUGGCAUAUACGCAUUGCAUUAGGGUGCUUGGCACCCGGGUCAUGUUUGUUAUACUUUGAUAAUUGUAUAUACAUAUUCGGUUGUUGUUGUGAUUUGUCGUAAUUACUUUGAGGUGUGAAGUUAGGUUGAUCAAGUUUUGAUGUAUUUAUGUGUUCAUAAUUGAUUUAAUGAAUAUUCGAUGUGUGAUUGAGGUGUGAAUUUGUGGAGAUUAAUUUGGUGUUAAUUAUGUGUUCAUAGUUGAUAAUAUUAAUGUUUGAAGUGUUGAUUGAUUGAGAGUCAUUUUAUAAUUGAAUAUCUG
rnacentral:lncRNA from 1 species